AGAGUUUGAUCCUGGCUCAGGAUGAACGCUGGCGGCGUGCCUAAUACAUGCAAGUCGAGCGAACGGACGAGAAGCUUGCUUCUCUGAUGUUAGCGGCGGACGGGUGAGUAACACGUGGAUAACCUACCUAUAAGACUGGGAUAACUUCGGGAAACCGGAGCUAAUACCGGAUAAUAUUUUGAACCGCAUGGUUCAAAAGUGAAAGACGGUCUUGCUGUCACUUAUAGAUGGAUCCGCGCUGCAUUAGCUAGUUGGUAAGGUAACGGCUUACCAAGGCAACGAUGCAUAGCCGACCUGAGAGGGUGAUCGGCCACACUGGAACUGAGACACGGUCCAGACUCCUACGGGAGGCAGCAGUAGGGAAUCUUCCGCAAUGGGCGAAAGCCUGACGGAGCAACGCCGCGUGAGUGAUGAAGGUCUUCGGAUCGUAAAACUCUGUUAUUAGGGAAGAACAUAUGUGUAAGUAACUGUGCACAUCUUGACGGUACCUAAUCAGAAAGCCACGGCUAACUACGUGCCAGCAGCCGCGGUAAUACGUAGGUGGCAAGCGUUAUCCGGAAUUAUUGGGCGUAAAGCGCGCGUAGGCGGUUUUUUAAGUCUGAUGUGAAAGCCCACGGCUCAACCGUGGAGGGUCAUUGGAAACUGGAAAACUUGAGUGCAGAAGAGGAAAGUGGAAUUCCAUGUGUAGCGGUGAAAUGCGCAGAGAUAUGGAGGAACACCAGUGGCGAAGGCGACUUUCUGGUCUGUAACUGACGCUGAUGUGCGAAAGCGUGGGGAUCAAACAGGAUUAGAUACCCUGGUAGUCCACGCCGUAAACGAUGAGUGCUAAGUGUUAGGGGGUUUC
rnacentral:rRNA from 8 species